rnacentral:rRNA from 1 species
UGGGGAAUAUUGGGCAAUGGGGGCAACCCUGACCCAGCGACGCCGCGUGGGGGAAGACGGCCUUCGGGUUGUAAACCUCUUUUGUACGGGAAGAAGGAAGUGACGGUACUGUACGAAUAAGUCCCGGCUAACUACGUGCCAGCAGCCGCGGUAAUACGUAGGGGACGAGCGUUGUCCGGAAUUACUGGGCGUAAAGGGCGCGCAGGCUGUGCUGCAAGUCAGCUGUUAAAUGUCUGGGGUUAACCCGGGCAUGCGGUUGAGACUGCGGUGCUGGAGUGCUGUAGAGGCAAGUGGAAUUCCCAGUGUAGCGGUGAAAUGCGUAGAUAUUGGGAAGAACACCGGUGGCGAAGGCGACUUGCUGGGCAGCAACUGACGCUGAGGCGCGAAAGCCAGGGGAGC